rnacentral:rRNA from 1 species
UACGAGGGGGGCAAGCGUUGUUCGGAAUUAUUGGGCGUAAAGGGUGCGUAGGCGGUCUGACAAGUCUGAUGUGAAAUCUAUGGGCUCAACCCAUAGUCUGCAUCGGAAACUGUCGGGCUUGAGUAUGGGAGAGGUGAGUGGAAUUUCGUGUGUAGGGGUGAAAUCCGUAGAUCUACGAAGGAACGCCAAAAGCGAAGGCAGCUCUCUGGGUCCCUACCGACGCUGGGGUGCGAAAGCAUGGGGAGCGAACAGG